UACGAAGGGGGCUAGCGUUGCUCGGAAUCACUGGGCGUAAAGGGUGCGUAGGCGGGUCUUUAAGUCAGGGGUGAAAUCCUGGAGCUCAACUCCAGAACUGCCUUUGAUACUGGAUGUCUCGAGACCGGGAGAGGUGAGUGGAAUUCCGAGUGUAGAGGUGAAAUUCGUAGAUAUUCGGAAGAACACCAGUGGCGAAGGCGGCUCACUGGCCCGGUUCUGACGCUGAGGUGCGAAAGCGUGGGGAGCAAACAGG
rnacentral:rRNA from 1 species